UGGUAGAGCGGAGGACUGUAGUGG
rnacentral:piRNA from 2 species